GUGUGUGUGUGUGUGUGUGUGUGUGUGUUCUAACUCUAAAGUUCUAAGGCAGUGCUUCUCAACUUUCCUAAUGCAACCCUUUAACAUAGUUUCUCAUGUUGUGGUGACCCCCUCAACCAUAAAUUAUUUUCAUUGCUUUUUCAUGACUAAUUUUACUACUAUUAAACACCAUAAUGUAAAUAUCUGAUAUGCAGGAUAUCUGAUGUGUGGCCUCCCACCCCCAUGAAGGGGUCACAACCCACAGGUUGAGAAACACUGGUAAAUACAGUGAACCUGUCUUAAGUAUCUGCUGGUGAGGUUUUAUGCUGAAGAUGUGUUUCCUAAAUAAAGAAAGGGUUGGGGGUUGUCACCUU
rnacentral:lncRNA from 1 species